GAUGAACGCUAGCGAUAGGCCUAACACAUGCAAGUCGAGGGGCAGCACGGGAGUAGCAAUACAACUGGUGGCGACCGGCGCACGGGUGAGUAACGCGUAUGUAAUCUACCUACAACAGGGGGAUAACCCGGAGAAAUCCGGACUAAUACCGCAUAAAACAGGGGUCCCGCCUGGGACUAUUUGUUAAAGAUUUAUCGGUUGUAGAUGAGCAUGCGUUCCAUUAGAUAGUUGGUAAGGUAACGGCUUACCAAGUCAGCGAUGGAUAGGGGAACUGAGAGGUUUGUCCCCCACACUGGAACUGAGACACGGACCAGACUCCUACGGGAGGCAGCAGUGAGGAAUAUUGGUCAAUGGGCGAGAGCCUGAACCAGCCAAAUCGCGUGAAGGAAGACUGCCUUAUGGGUUGUAAACUUCUUUUACAGGGGAAUAAAAAGACAUACGAGUAUGUCAUUGCAUGUACCCUGUGAAUAAGCAUCGGCUAACUCCGUGCCAGCAGCCGCGGUAAUACGGAGGAUGCGAGCGUUAUCCGGAUUUAUUGGGUUUAAAGGGUGCGCAGGCGGGAUUUUAAGUCAGCGGUGAAAUACCAACGCUCAACGUUGGAACUGCCGUUGAAACUGGGAUUCUUGAGUAUAGAUGAAGUAGGCGGAAUUCGUUGUGUAGCGGUGACAUGCAUAGAUAUAACGAGGAACUCCGAUUGCGUAGGCAGCUUACUAAACUAUAACUGACGCUCAAGCACGAAAGCGUGGGGAUCAAACAGGAUUAGAUACCCUGGUAGUCCACGCCGUAAACGAUGAUUACUAGUUGUAUGCGAUAUGAUAGUAUGUGACUAAGCGAAAGCGAUAAGUAAUCCACCUGGGGAGUACGCCGGCAACGGUG
rnacentral:rRNA from 1 species